AUUCCAUAAAGUCAAUUUAAGGCAUCUUUUAUUGAUUAAAGCUCCGGCGGUUAGAGAUGGGCAUGCGUGUCAUUAGCUAGUUGGUGAGGUAACGGCUCACCAAGGCCACGAUGACUAGGGGGUCUGAGAGGAUGAUCCCCCACACUGGUACUGAGACACGGACCAGACUCCUACGGGAGGCAGCAGUGAGGAAUAUUGGGCAAUGGACGCAAGUCUGACCCAGCCAUGCCGCGUGCAGGAUGACUGCCCUAUGGGUUGUAAACUGCUUUUGUUUGGGAAGAAACCCCCGAUCGUGAUCGGGGCUGACGGUACCAUACGAAUAAGCAUCGGCUAACUCCGUGCCAGCAGCCGCGGUAAUACGGAGGAUGCAAGCGUUAUCCGGAUUCAUUGGGUUUAAAGGGUGCGCAGGCGGAAUAUUAAGUCAGUGGUGAAAUCCUGCAGCUUAACUGUAGAACUGCCAUUGAUACUGAUAUUCUUGAAUAUAGUUGAGGUAGGCGGAAUGUGUACUGUAGCGGUGAAAUGCUUAGAUAUUACACCAGAACAUCAAUUGCGAAGGCAGCUCACUAAACUAAUAUUGACGCUGAGGCACGAAAGCGUGGGUAGCAAACAGGAUUAGAUACCCUGGUAGUCCACGCUGUAAAACUAUGAUCACUCCCUGUUGGCAAUACAUCGUCAGCGGCUGAGCGAAAGCAUUAAGUGAUCCACCUGGGGAGUACGGUCGCAAGAUUGAAACUCAAAGGAAUUGACGGGGGCCCGCACAAGCGGAGGAACAUGUGGUUUAAUUCGAUGAUACGCGAGGAACCUUACCUGGGCUUAAAUGCAGAGCGACGUCCGCCGAAAGGUGGAUUCCUUCGGGCCGAUCUGCAAGGUGCUGCAUGGUUGUCGUCAGCUCGUGCCGUGAGGUGUCGGGUUAAGUCCCAUAACGAGCGCAACCCUUAUCGUUAGUUGCCAGCGGGUAAUGCCGGGGACUCUAACGAAACUGCCGGUGUAAACCGUGAGGAAGGUGGGGAUGACGUCAAAUCAGCACGGCCAUUAUGUCCAGGGCUACACACGUGUUACAAUGGUCGGUACAGAGGGCAGCUACCACGCGAGUGGAUGCUAAUCUCGAAAACCGGUCUCAGUUCGGAUUGAAGUCUGCAACUCGACUUCAUGAAGCUGGAUUCGCUAGUAAUCGCGCAUCAGCCAUGGCGCGGUGAUACGUUCCCGGGCCUUGACACACCGCCCGUCAAGCCAUGGA
rnacentral:rRNA from 1 species